AUACCCCUCUGCACGCGCUCCCACCCCCACCUCCACUCCCGCAUCCGCCCGCUGCCCGCACUACCCCGCAACGGACGGGCCGCCGCCGCCUGUGCGAUCUGCCGCACGCCAUCACCCGCACUCCACCCCGACGGUGGCAUGUCUGUCGGCUGCUCAUCCGUCGCCCUCCCGCCGUCGAACCCCUCCGCUGGCCGUCGCACGACUCUGGGGCGACGGUGGGAGGAGGCGAGCUCGGCGGCAGGCAGACGUCCCCCUCAGCAUUUCCGCUCCGCUGCCUUUGCAGCGAUCUUUCUCACGCUCAGCAACCCCACCAAUCCUGCCGCUUUUACGGUGCCGACGGUGACCUCCUGUGCCCAUAUCCUGGUACAUCUGGUCCACCGAUACCCUACUUUUUCCCCUGUUUUUCUUGAAUGUGUGAUGCCAAAUUUUGAGAACGCUAUGUCAAUAUUGUGGAUUCAUCAAUCCCAUCCAUCUUGCAUCGCGACGACCACAGGUAUCUGCAAACAAUGAAUUUCUUCUGAUUCGAGUUUCAGAGUUUACAAGCUGGCUGACAGGAAACUGUCCCAGGUGCAUAGUGUCCGAUUGAUGCUUUAAGGAUUGUAACUCCAAUUAUUCAGAUUUUGUGAACCCACGUGCUAUUAUCUCUAGGUGAGAAUCUUAACUCUUGAGUGCUAUAGAAUAUAGGGUUAAUUGGAUACAUGCCAUUCGUGGUGGGUGCAGUGGUGCUGGGGAUCGAUGUGAUCCAAUUGUUGCAAUCUCGGACUGAAAUCAGGUUACUAAUUAAUCUCCAGUACGCUGACCAAACAAAUUUGUGUUUUUGUAUUGCUUGUGUUAUUGAGUCUGUACAGGUCAAAUAAUGCUUUGUUAUGCUUUGAUUGCACCAAAGCGAUGUCCCUGAGUUGUUUGUGAAAUGUGUUUCAUUUUUUGCUGUGAUCUGGUGUGGAAUAUGGAAAAGGGAAAGAAACUGCUAAUCUGAAGUGAUAGAGCAAGCAAAAGGUGUGUCUAUAUACUUUGCUUUCAAGAUGUUUUUGUGGGUAGUUUUUAUUAUACAUGACUUAAAUUUGCUGACAGGACAGAACAGCCAAUAUGAAGUCAUUUUCCUUAACUUUCUGUAAAUAAGCCACUCCAUAUGCCUUUUCUUUGGUUAAAAUCAUCUUACAUGCUUGCCAUCCAAUUGAAAUGCUUGACGAAGCAUGCUUUUAGUUACUGGUUUUCUCAGUUUACAAAAAAUCCAUGGAGUACUGUUAUGUGCUCGUUUCAAUGCAAUGCAAUCUAAAAUCUCUAUUGCAAGGAAGGGAUAACACCCUUACGGGCUUUUGAGAAGACAUGAAAGUUCUCUUCUUGCUGUGUUAAUUUUGUCCUGCACAUUUCCUGCCUAUUUUUAUCCACAUGUAUUCCUCCACCUAGCAUCCCUUACAUAAACCUGGAAACCUAGAGUUUUCCACUAUUUUAUUUAUAGAAAUUAAGAGUUAUGCAAGCGUCUCUUGAUUAAUCCCCAUCUUUCCAACCAUUCAAAUCUUAAGCACAUCUCUUUUUCAGAAACGGAAAGAUCCCUAAACUGACAGUGAGUGUUAUAAUUCAUUUUUUUUUAAUUUUGUCCAAAACUUCGAAGAUAGUUGCUCUGAACAAAAUUUAAUGUCUCGUUAGUUAAACUCUGGCGGCUUAUAAGCUGAGUGAAGUAAACUAGCAUUGUCAUAGGAUUAGACUUUUAUAGUUAUACCCUUGCAAUCUAAAAUUUAAGGAGGGAAAGCAACGAGAAAACCUCUAAAUUAAUUCCAAAAUUCAAAUUUAGCUAUGGCUUAGAAGCUGAAGGCCUGCCAAUGGAAUAGUCUUUAGCACCUAGCACUCUACCAGAGCAAAUAGUGUGAUCUAUAAACAGGUGUUAUGGACUUUCUUAGCCGCUAUUCUGGACUAAGCCUUAGGAUGAGAGAAAUCCGAAUCAUUUAGAAAUCUUGUUUACUUUUGAAAGUUACGUCUGCAACCGAAAUUAUUUAUAUUUUCAUGCAUUGUUUAUCUCUGCACUAAUGAUGUCCCAUUGCAGUUCACCUACAUUGCAACAGGAAAAUAUUUUCAUUAUGUCAGAGCAAAAUAGUGUACUUUUUUUGACCACCAAGAAAUUAGUUUUUGAUAUAUACAUGUGGCAAUAGAGAAAACGAUGUUGAACUGACCAAAGUCUCCAUCAACUAAUAGCUGAGAUGCAAUGUACUUGUUGGUUUACUCUUGUUUGCUCAUAAUAUUGAGGUUUGUUAGUCAUACUAUUCUUUUAUCGCUGCUGUUAUUUCAAAAAACUGGAUGACAGGCUGACAAGGUGCCUUUGGAAUUAUUGGUUACCGCAGAGUAUCAGCUGAGAGUCUCAGACAGGAGUAUGUUUCGCUGGUGAUGAGAUGACAAGACUGAAUAUCAAGUUGCUGAUCAAGUCUCUCCGGGGGAAUUGUUUCAAAAGGAGUUAAAGAGUUUGUCUUCAAUGAAAAAAAAAAGUAAAAACCCAUAUUGAUGGGACUAACCGAUCAGGUCCUUCGUAAAGAGGAGAGCAAAAGCGACAUUUGGCAAGAUUCCAGAGUAGAGUACAAUUAGCAUCCUGUUGUUUUAGGUAACAUUUCUGCUUUCUUAAUUAUUCAGAGCGAAAAAUAAUACAAGGGGAACAAAAACUCUCCAUGAAUUCUUGUUGUUAGGCCAAUCUUUGUUUGCCAGAAGUGAUAUUUCUAUUUUUCAUGGUCGACCAAGUGUAAUAAACUGAAACUACAUACAUGAAAGCUUGACUCCCUUUGUGAGCCUGUCAGCCUGUUUUGACUGUAAACUCUAUAGCAAGAGCAGAGUUCUCUGUAGAGGGGUUUCUUCUGUCCGCUCUAAUGAAGAAGGAAGUUGAAUGCUUGUUUAAAUGAAGUUCGAA